rnacentral:lncRNA from 1 species
GCUGUUGCCAGAAGCAGUUUAUUCAAAAAGCCACCAAACAAAAGGAGUUUACAAGAAACUUCUGCAUCUUUUUUACUAACAGUGUUUGAACAACUACAUAAGCUCAGCGAAGAUGACCCAUCAUCAAUGGUCAGGUUGUAUGAGAGCAAUCCCAAGCUCAGGUCAUUCAAUAGUUAAGUGAGCCUGUUUCAAAAGCCCGUCCAAGAAAAUAAAAGGAAUCUCUCUGCUUUCUUGAAGCAGCUUUGGAAAAGACCCAGACUGUUUAAGUCACAAACUACUGACACAGGAACAACUAUUCAUGGUGAACCCUUUGUUGGUCAUCAGUAAAUCAUCAUUAAGGAAAGGUGAGAUUCCAACACUUUAAAAGGAAGCGAAGGGUUCUUGUCAUCCCUUUAUCACAUCUUUAAACGUAUGGAAAACUACUAAGAUUGUUUGCUUUUCCACCAAAAUCUCCAGUAAAAUCAGACAAUACAUGUAAAACCCAACAGCAACAAAACGGAAUUUAGUGUAUCUGAGGAAACUCAGUGCGUGCUUUAGAAAAUGAAGUCAUUUGAUAGUGUGACCUUGAUCCAACCAAACAGAACCCACUUCUAUUCAAAGGGGCACGCUUCUUUUAAGACAGAAAAGCUAAAAAGGAUCAAGCCUUAGUUCCUCGGGACAGAGCCCUUGUAAAAGGCACACCAGAUGAACCAAAGUAUCUCGCUCGAUUACAAAAGGUUUUAUUCUUACAGAUGACGCUCUUCAGUGUUUCAGUGCAGAAAACAGUUCCCCAAGGGUGCUUCUGAGCGAGACUCUCCUGUGACAUUUGCAGUGCCUGGGGGAACAACCACAGCAAAAAGAGCCCACACAUGCACAAAGCAGCUAACAGAUGCAGCUCGCUAGAUGGCAACCCCUGGUCUGGUAGGGAUGCCCUCGCCCCCCCGCAGCACAGGGAGCAGCUCCAAGCACUCCUCGGGAGCUCACACAAGUGCUUUGUGCGGGCUGUGUGGUGGAGAAAGCAGCCCCGAUCAACCCGGCUGGUGUUAGCUCCUUCCCAGCCUUAUCCAUCUUCCCACCGCAGGUGCUCCUCACAUACAUCCUCUGGCACAAACGCAGCGGUACUUCCAAGAACACUGAUGCUGAUUUUCCUUUACUUUUCCUCAGUGUAAGCUCCUAUAAACUGAAAAUCCCC